UACAGGGGGUGCAAACGUUGCUCGGAAUUAUUGGGCGUAAAGCGCACGUAGGCGGUUUGUUAUGUCGGAUGUGAAAGCCCUUGGCUCAACUGAGGAAGUGCAUCCGAAACUGGCAAGCUAGAGUAUGUAAGAGGGUCGCGGAAUUCCCGGUGUAGCGGUGAAAUGCGCAGAUAUCGGGAAGAACACCCGUGGCGAAGGCGGUUCUCUGGGACGGUACUGACGCUGAGACGCGAAAGCGUGGGGAGCGAACAGG
rnacentral:rRNA from 1 species